AUUGAACGCUAGCGGGAUGCUUUACACAUGCAAGUCGAACGGCAGCGCGGACUUCGGUCUGGCGGCGAGUGGCGAACGGGUGAGUAAUGUAUCGGAACGUGCCCAGUAGCGGGGGAUAACUACGCGAAAGCGUAGCUAAUACCGCAUACGCCCUACGGGGGAAAGCAGGGGAUCGUAAGACCUUGCACUAUUGGAGCGGCCGAUAUCGGAUUAGCUAGUUGGUGAGGUAACGGCUCACCAAGGCGACGAUCCGUAGCUGGUUUGAGAGGACGACCAGCCACACUGGGACUGAGACACGGCCCAGACUCCUACGGGAGGCAGCAGUGGGGAAUUUUGGACAAUGGGGGCAACCCUGAUCCAGCCAUCCCGCGUGUGCGAUGAAGGCCUUCGGGUUGUAAGGCACUUUUGGCAGGAAAGAAACGUCGCGGGCUAAUACCCCGUGGAACUGACGGUACCUGCAGAAUAAGCACCGGCUAACUACGUG
rnacentral:rRNA from 1 species